GCAUAUCUAUAAGCGGAAGGAAAAAGAAACUAACAAGGAUUUCCCCUAGUAACUGCGAGUGAAGCGGGAAAAGCUCAAAUUUAAAAAGCUGGUAGUCUUUGACUGUCCGCAUUGUAAUCUAGAGAAGUGUUACCCGCGUUGGACCGUGUACAAGUCUCCUGGAAUGGAGCGUCAUAGAGGGUGACAAUCCCGUCUUUGACACGGACUACCAAGGCUUUGUGGUGCGCUCUCAAAGAGUCGAGUUGUUUGGGAAUGCAGCUCAAAAUGGGUGGUAAAUUCCAUCUAAAGCUAAAUAUUGGCGAGAGACCGAUAGCGAACAAGUACCGUGAGGGAAAGAUGAAAAGAACUUUGGAAAGAGAGUUAAACAGUACGUGAAAUUGCUGAAAGGGAAACGCUUGAAGUCAGUCGCGUCGGCCGGGGAUCAACCUUGCUUUUGCUGGGCGUAUUCUCUGGUUGACGGGCCAGCAUCAAUUUUGACCGCUGGAAAAAGGUUGAGGGAAUGUGGCAUCUUCGGAUGUGUUAUAGCCCUUGGUCGUAUACAGUGAUUGGGAUUGAGGAACUCAGCACGCCGCAAGGCCGGGUUUUUAACCACGUUCGUGCUUAGGAUGCUGGCAUAAUGGCUUUAAUCGACCCGUCUUGAAACACGGACCAAGGAGUCUAACAUGCCUGCGAGUGUUUGGGUGGAAAACCCGAGCGCGUAAUGAAAGUGAAAGUUGAGAUCCCUGUCGUGGGGAGCAUCGACGCCCGGACCUGACCUUUUUGUGAAGGAUCUGCGGUAGAGCAUGUAUGUUGGGACCCGAAAGAUGGUGAACUAUGCCUGAAUAGGGUGAAGCCAGAGGAAACUCUGGUGGGAGGCUCGUAGCGAUUCUGACGUGCAAAUCGAUCGUCAAAUUUGGGUAUAGGGGCGAAAGACUAAUCGAACCAUCUAGUAGCUGGGUUCCUGCG
rnacentral:rRNA from 1 species